UUGCAUGCACUCCAAUAUUCUUCCAAGUUUCAAUCACCAAGCUACUAACAUUAUUCACAAAUUAUUUGUUUAACAAUUCUACCAACCGUAGGCCUUAAAGCAUAGUACCAUGAUUACCUUUUCUCUUUCACUUUGAAUCCAUCAUGCAUCCAAGGGUUUGAUGGCUUCCAUGUCACUAAAUCCUCUCCAAUCAAGCUUUUCUUUGUUGCCACAAUACAUUUCUUAUGGUUACCAACCAAUUGUCAAAACAUAAUCAACCCAAAACCACAAUGCUUACCCUUGUUUCUCUUGAAACUUUGGAACCAAGCUUUCCACUUUCCUUAAGCUCCACGGUUCCUCUCUUGCAUGUUAAAGAUUCCUUUUUGGGUGAUGAAAAGUUAAACUUAACAAUGAAGAGCAAGGAACCCACGAUUUCCUUGAAUCCUCACAAACUCGAGCCUUCCCCCCUUUCUUUUUUUCUUCCUCUCUUUUCUUUUUUCCUCAGGUGAAACCUUUCAAGACCUAGAUUUCUCUUUCUUUUCCUCUCUUUUAUUUUUUUUAUGGGUGGAACCUCUCAAGAAC
rnacentral:lncRNA from 1 species